rnacentral:rRNA from 1 species
GUGGGGAAUAUUGGACAAUGGGGGGAACCCUGAUCCAGCCAUGCCGCGUGUGUGAAGAAGGCCUUUUGGUUGUAAGCACUUUAAGCGAGGAGGAGGCUACCGAGAUUAAUACUCUUGGAUAGUGGACGUUACUCGCAGAAUAAGCACCGGCUAACUCUGUGCCAGCAGCCGCGGUAAUACAGAGGGUGCAAGCGUUAAUCGGAUUUACUGGGCGUAAAGCGCGCGUAGGUGGCCAAUUAAGUCAAAUGUGAAAUCCCCGAGCUUAACUUGGGAAUUGCAUUCGAUACUGGUUGGCUAGAGUAUGGGAGAGGAUGGUAGAAUUCCAGGUGUAGCGGUGAAAUGCGUAGAGAUCUGGAGGAAUACCGAUGGCGAAGGCAGCCAUCUGGCCUAAUACUGACACUGAGGUGCGAAAGCAUGGGGAGCAAACAGGAUUAGAUACCCCAGUAGUCC